rnacentral:lncRNA from 15 species
AUGAUUCUCUUUACGGGAUAUUUCAUAUUUUCAUGCCUCAACAGUUUGACAGAGGCGAACUCAACGCAUUUACCCAGGAUGGUAUUCACAGAAAAAGAUAUUGCAAUGAAAAAGGUCCCUUUACCUGGCGACCAUGUACCUGUACAGAUUGUUCUGGGAGGAGAGCCGGACACUGUCACAGCUGCUGGACCAAAAAACCUGAUUUCAUUCAACUUUCAAAAUCCUCAGGAGACUCCAGUGGAAAGAACGGUGUUGUGGGAAGAAUGCAGCGACAGUCAACUUCCACAAAGAGACUGCAAAUAUAACAUCACUGUGGUCCACAAGAGAGAAGAGGCCAACCAGGUGUUUGUGUGUGGAACCGAUGGCCAGGAAACUGUGUGCUGUAACACGAACUUAUUAGAGCAGUCACCCCAGUGCAUUCCCUCUGAAAAAAUAAGAUACAUAAAAGGAAGCAUAAGGGCAUUUGUCAUAAAGGAAGGUGAACCAUCAACCCUUGUGGAAUCAAAAGGAGGUGAAGACCUUUACAUUACAAACUCUGGAUCUCCAGGGUUUGUUGGUAUCCACAAGUUUGGGAAACACCGAGUUGGACCAGCUAACCAAGAUAAAGGUAUUUGCAUGGAGAUUAUUAGUUUUCCUUAAGGACUUGAGAAGUUCCUUAAACAUGCAUAUGUCCUAGGGCGCUAUAGAGACAA